rnacentral:rRNA from 1 species
UACGGAGGGGGCUAGCGUUGUUCGGAAUUACUGGGCGUAAAGCGCGUGUAGGCUGCUCAGAAAGUCGGAUGUGAAAGCCCUGGGCUUAACCUAGGAAGUGCAUUCGAAACUUCUGAGCUUGAGUUCUGGAGAGGAAGGCGGAAUUCUCGGUGUAGAGGUGAAAUUCGUAGAUAUCGAGAGGAACACCGGUGGCGAAGGCGGCCUUCUGGACAGUGACUGACGCUGAGACGCGAAAGCGUGGGGAGCAAACAGG